AACGAACGCUGGCGGCAUGCCUAACACAUGCAAGUCGAACGAGACCUUCGGGUCUAGUGGCGCACGGGUGCGUAACGCGUGGGAACCUGCCCUUAGGUUCGGAAUAACUUCCCGAAAGGGGUGCUAAUACCGGAUAAUGUCUUCGGACCAAAGAUUUAUCGCCUUUGGAUGGGCCCGCGUUAGAUUAGCUAGUUGGUAGGGUAAAAGCCUACCGAGGCGACGAUCCAUAGCUGGUCUGAGAGGAUGAUCAGCCACACUGGGACUGAGACACGGCCCAGACUCCUACGGGAGGAAGCAGUUGGGAAUAUUGGACAAUGGGCGAAAGCCUGAUCCAUCAAUGCCGCGUGAGUGAUGAAGGCCUUAGGGUUGUAAAGCUCUUUUAACCGGGAUGAUAAUGACAGUACCGGGAGAAUAAGCGCCGGCUAACUCCGUG
rnacentral:rRNA from 1 species